CGCUGGCGGCGUGCCUUAUACAUGCAAGUCGUACGCGAACGGGACCUUCGGGUCCCUAGUAGAGUGGCGGACGGGUGAGUAACACGUGAGCAACCUGCCUUGGAGUGGGGGAUAACCUUUCCAACGGAGGGCUAAUACCGCAUAUGGCGAUAGUGGGACAUCCCACAGUCGUGAAAGCUUCCGAGCGCUCCUUGAUGGGCUCGCGUCCUAUUAGGUAGUUGGUGAGGUAACGGCUCACCAAGCUUACGAUGGGUAGCCGACCUGAGAGGGUGACCGGCCACACUGGGACUGAGAUACGGCCCAGACUCCUACGGGAGGCAGCAGUAGGGAAUAUUGCGCAAUGGGCGAAAGCCUGACGCAGCAACGCCGCGUGGAGGACAAAGCCCUUCGGGGUGUAAACUCCUUUCAGGGGGGACGAAACCUGCUCAGCAGCUGACGGUACCCCCAGAAGAAGCUCCGGCUAACUCCGUGCCAGCAGCCGCGGUAAUACGGGGGGAGCAAGCGUUGUCCGGAAUCACUGGGCGUAAAGGGUGCGUAGGCGGGGAUGCAAGUCCGUGGUGAAAACUGACGGCUCAACUGUCAGCCUGCCGCGGAUACUGCUUCUCUUG
rnacentral:rRNA from 1 species